rnacentral:rRNA from 1 species
UACGUAGGGCGCAAGCGUUGUCCGGAAUUAUUGGGCGUAAAGAGCUCGUAGGCGGCCUGUUGCGUCCGCUGUGAAAUCCCGGGGCUCAACCCCGGGCCUGCAGUGGAUACGGGCUGGCUAGAGGCAGGCAGGGGAGAACGGAAUUCCUGGUGUAGCGGUGAAAUGCGCAGAUAUCAGGAGGAACACCGGUGGCGAAGGCGGUUCUCUGGGCCUGUACUGACGCCGAGGAGCGAAAGCGUGGGGAGCGAACAGG